CAUUUUAUAUUUUCAUUCACGACUACAUGUUUUUUUUUUUUGGUUACAAAGUGAUAACAUCGGAUUAAUAAAGUAUUUUAGGAACAGAGAAGAAUGAGAUUUUGGAAGAGUGAAACAGUUUACUGAUAUACAUAGAUUACCUUGAUGUUCACAAUUAUUCUAAUGCCUAAUUCAGCUAUCAUACGAGCAGGAUAGAGCAAUGGCAUCUCUUACACCUGGAGUGCUAAUAAAGCUUCUUCAGAGUAUUAACUCCAAUAUAAAGGUUCGUGGAGAUUAUCGGUCAGUUCUCUUGCAAGUGAUCAGCAUUGUCCCUGCUAUAUCUGGCUCUGAACUAUGGCCAGACCAUGGCUUCUUCCUCAAAGUCUCCGAUUCUUCUCAUUCGACGUAUGUUUCGCUCUCGAAGGAAGACAAUGAGCUUAUCUUGAACAACAAGUUACAGCUUGGCCAGUUCUUCUAUGUGGAUAGAGUAGAGGGUGGGACACCAGUUCCAACUCUUGAAGGGGUUAGACCAGUUCCAGGACGACACGCUUUCGUGGGGAACCCCAAGGAUUUGAUGCAAAUGUUAGAGCCAUCAGAGAAUCCGGCUCAGGCUGAUCAUUUUGAGGGAACCAACGGUUCAAGAUCUAAAGAGUUGGUGGAAGUGAAGGAGGAAAACACAAGACAAAAGAUUGUCAUCAAGGAAGAAAAAGCAGUUGUUGCAUCCCGGUAUAUGCAAGGUUUUACCACAUCAAACGCCAAAUCUAGUGGAGUAGAUUCCAACGGAUCAGCUGGAAAGAGUAAUGACAACGAGAGUGAUGGAAAGAAAUCUGGCAUGAUGAGAGGAAAGCAACCAGAGCAAAAUAGUCGGGCAUGUCCAGUGACUCCUAGGAUUCGACCUGAUACACUCUCAUCAAGGCCAGAUUUUGUUAUAUCUAAUACCAAAGAGACUCAGGUGCCACCUAAGAGCACUUCUACCAAACGCUUGUUGAGUAAACAGGAAAACGUGAACUUGAAUUUGUCAUCAAACAACAGAGACAGGAAUUAUUCUCCUGAAGCGCUUCUCUGGUCUUCUUUGCCUGCUAAUCUUUUAAAGCCUGGAAAGGGAAUGCUUAGGAGGAGGAACUUAGCUUCUUUGGUCGCAACAGAAGCUCAAAAAGAAGCAGCCAAAGCUGCAACACUUGUCAAGUGCCUCAGUAUGUUUGCUGAACUUUGCUCAUCUGCCUCACCUGAGAAUCCCCACCUCUCUUUCAACACUUUCUUCAUGCUUAGCAAGAUCAUUGAUCAAUUAAAUGAGAUCAUUCCAUUGAAGGAUAAAGCAUUUCCUUUAAAUACAAUCUCCUCACCUCCAAACAUAGAGAAACCAAUUGGAAAAAAGAUUACAAGUUCUGUAACUCGUAAAAGUACAAUGAGGGCAACCAAGAAUCCUGUUGAAGUAAGUGGAUUUGAGAAACUAGAAUGGGCUAAAGGAGAGAGUACAAAAGAUAUCAAAGAGCUAAGAGAGCUUCUCUUGAGUGAAACAAGUUCUUGGUUUCUUAAAUUUUUGGAUGCAGCUUUAGAUGAUGGCUUUCGUCUCAACACCCAAGAGAAGAAAGGUAAGAACAGUGUAGGACGGCGAGUUGAGCCAGACAACCACAUUGCUAUCACAUUAUCACAGCUUAAGAAUGCAAAUGAGUGGUUAGAAAAACUGAAAAACAACUCAAGCUCGGAGAAUGAUGGAUUAGUGGAGACCGUUAAUCGGCUGAAGAAAAAAGUAUAUUCUUGUUUGCUUGGUCACGUGGAGUCUGCAGCAUCCGCCCUUGAGAACCGAUCUGAUCGAGGUUGAUUAAGCAAAAUGGAAUGUUUUGGAUUUUUUUUUCUGUAAUAUUUAUGAAUUAUUUAUUAUAGCAGCAGUGUAAAGAACAUUUAGAAAGGAGACAAUAGCCAGAAUUCUCAAUUAGUCAACUAACCUUCACCUUACGAGCUGGUCCAUGCUAUCUACAAUGUGCCUGCAAAGGAGAAGAUAAAAGCCAGAGAAGUGGAGCACAUGCCAAAUUUUCAGUCCUCAGGCUGAUAAGACUGGCAUGUGCCCUGCUUCUCCAGCAUGGCUUAGCCUUCUUUCUAUAACCCCUUAGUUUAUCCUGAAUGGCCACAACUAGAGCUGUAAAUACGGGUCAAGCUUUCUAGCACGACACGAAACCGGCACGAGCCUGGGAGGUACGACACGGCACGGAAAAAUAUGGACUUGAGCCAGGCACGACAUGGGCUCGCAAUAGGUAAACGGUGAUGAGCAUAGGUGAACCAAGGUAAUGAGCUUGUAAUAGGUAAAUGGUCUUGAAGGCGUGUGAAUCUAGCGUCCAACUCGCAAGCUGUGUGCGAAUAUGUACAUUGUUGUAAAAUCAUUAUGUUUAAGGGAUCAGAUGUAAUUUGUUAUUAAACCCCAAAUAUUAUGGAAUAUUAUCGUGUACGUAGUAACUAAUGCAUAUAAUGACAUUAUUUUAAUUGAUUUAUAGAAUAACUUCCCAAAAUCUGUGGGAAUAGAUUCGGUAAGCCACUCUAUAAAUAGAGUGGGACGAUUCAUUUGUAGAUGACGGAAAAACGAAUAUUGAAAAAUACUGUACAAUUG